UGUACUCCUGUGUGUCCUGUGGAUACACUCCAAGUACCGUGAUUAUGGACCUUCAUAAAAAAGGAGUGUUUAGCAUCCCAGUGAGUGAAAUCCCAUCUCCACCUGCAACUUACGAUGGUCAUGUUGACAUAGAAAAAUUUUGGGAUUCAGUGGCAAUGGACAUGUUAAGCAGGGGGUUUUACCCAAGUGGUAAAGAAAAUCCAUUUACAGUUUCACCAAGUUAUCACAACUGGUCCCCAUGGAUAGGUCCAAACACAAGGCAAUCAGCCAUGGUACUGUAUUAAACACGG